AAUUUUUUAAUAGUGGGCUGGAGGCUGGAUGCAUAAUUUAGUGCUGAGUCUGGGCUUGCGUAUGGUAUGCAGAGGCAGGUGCGGGGGAAUCCAUGUGGCAGGCCAGAUAAUGAGCUCGGGCGAUGACGCAGUUAUCAGGUCUGGAGAGUGAUGAAUGUGUCUGUUUGACUCCUCUCAAGGCAAUUGGCCUUAUGCUACUGUGUACUGACUAUGGGUGUGGGAAAAGGGAAGGGUUGCUUACUAAAGGCACAACAAUCAUUGAGGAUAUAGGAUGAAGUCUCCCACGAAAAAGAAAAUAACAACAGUAAAGCUCAGGAGAAAAAUCAAUACAGAAGUCUAAAAAAAAUUGCACUGGACCAGUUAAACAGUCAAGGAAGACUUCAACCAAGACUAUCAUAAGAAGAAAGAGGUUGAACUCAACUCCUUUGAAACAAAAGACAGAAGAGUUUUCCAGCUAAGGGAGAGCAGCCUGGGAAUUGAAUCUUCCUUUGCCAUGCUCCACCUGGAGUGCUAAGUCUAUACGAAGUAGGUAACAUCUUGAAGACACUUAAUGAACUGUGGUUUGAUGAUUCCUCUUUCAUUCUUGUUUCCCUUUUAUAAUCUUAACUUUCAGUUAAGUUCCUGUUCUUAAAAUUUCCAUUCUCAGAGAACAUUCACACUUCAUGAAAAUAGCCAUGCUUUCUAAGGGCUAAUUGAAGCUCUACAGCUUGUAUUACAUCUUUUUAGCAAAAUGAUAAAAUUAUUUUAUUUUAGAAAGAAGCUAUGGAGAAUUUCAGAUAGUGAUUUUCCUGUUAAAAAAUACAUAUACCCAUUAAAAAUACAUUUCUUCAUAUAUGUGCAAAUAUUUACUGCAAACCUGAUAAAAUAAGAAUUAUUGUUGUGGUAGAUAAAACUCUGUCAAAGAUAUGGGUGCACACCUGUAGUCCUAGUUAGGCAGAAGGCUGAGGCUGGAAGAUUGAUUGAACUCAGAAAUUGGAGGCUGCAGUGGGCUGUAAUCACACCUGUGAAAAGCCACUGCAUUCCAGCUUGGGCAACAUAGUAAGAUUUCGUCUCUAUUAAAAAAGGAAAAAAAAAAAGGUCGUAGGAAUCUACAAAAAUAACCAGUUGAUGACAUAGUUUUUACAAAAAUAAGUAAAAUAGAGAGCAGAAAUACCCAUGCAUUUCAAAAGGUAUAGAAAAAUAUUAUGAGAUUUCAGAAUAAAAGCCUCUAACAUAUUUGGAGCACUUACUAAAUGUAAGACAAUAUUGAAUUCUCAUUAACUACCAUAUUAAUAAGUAUGAUUUUUAUCCAAGUUUUAGUGACACAGAAACUGAGACUCAGAAAUAAGUAGUAGGUCAUGGAUUUUA